rnacentral:rRNA from 3 species
GACGAACCGUACGAACGUUAUUCGGAAUCACUGGGCUUAAAGGGUGCGUAGGCGGCGCUGAAAGUUGGGUGUGAAAUCCCUCGGCUUAACCGAGGAACUGCGCCCAAAACUACAGUGCUUGAGGGAGAUAGAGGUGAGCGGAACUUAGGGUGGAGCGGUGAAAUGCGUUGAUAUCCUAAGGAACGCCAGGGGCGAAAGCGGCUCACUGGGUCUCUUCUGACGCUGAGGCACGAAAGCUAGGGUAGCGAACGGG